UACGGAGGGUGCAAGCGUUAUCCGGAUUCACUGGGCGUAAAGCGCACGUAGGCGGAUUGUUAAGUCAGGGGUGAAAUCCUGGAGCUCAACUCCAGAACUGCCUUUGAUACUGGCGAUCUCGAGUCCGGGAGAGGUGAGUGGAACUGCGAGUGUAGAGGUGAAAUUCGUAGAUAUUCGCAAGAACACCAGUGGCGAAGGCGGACUCACUGGCCCGGUACUGACGCUGAGGUGCGAAAGCGUGGGGAGCAAACAGGA
rnacentral:rRNA from 1 species